UAAUUUUGAUGAAGAUUAGGGGGUUACUUUAGUUUAUUUUAUAUAAUGACAGAGGUGGGUAAUUUAUAUAUAGAUUUAGGGGGUUACUUUAGGCUAUUUUCAUAAUGGCAUAGGUGGGUAAUUUUUUAGAAAACAUAAUAGAUCCAAUGGCUAUGAUGAUUUGAAUCUGUCGAUUGAUGGUCGGAUGUUUUGCUUUUUUGUGAGAAUUUCUAGGAUUUCUCUCUUUUUCUAAAGUGUCCACCUAGGAAUCUUAGGUGGCUUCAUCUGGAGGCUUCAAAAGGAGCCUCCAAUUAGUAAUAGUAAGAUGGACUAUAACGAGGUUAUUAAGCACAAAUUCAAACAGAUGACAUCCAUGAGUAGUGCAACAAUUGAAUCCCGAAACUUCUUUUUUUGUUUAACUUCACGUAGUUAAAGCACCACCGCAAGUUGUAGUUCCACGAAUGGAUGAAACAUUGCACGCCCGCGCCGUGAUAGUCGCUAGCCCCACUAACUCUAUAUAAAAGAGCAUGUGAAGUGAGAUGAUAAGCUAGUGUAAUAGCCGAGAGAUCGAUGAACGGGCAACAUACUCACAUAGGCCACUGGCCGCUCCUGUGGCAUUGAAGUGACACCUAGGCCUUGGAGGCAUCGGAAGAUCUCCCACUAGUGGAUGAAAGAGCUCCAGGCCGCCCGCAUAUGGCACGCAGCAUCGCUCGCGCAUUGCUGCUGGCCACCCACGCGCGAGCAUUUCUAAGGCAAUGAGGACUGAGCACUUAGCUUGCUUCCUGCUCUGCCUACAAGCUGAGCAUAGUUUGCAGCAGGCAUCUGGUUCCCCUACUCUUCUUCUUACGCACAUUUCUACCGGUAGGCAUCCACACUUGAUUGUGUAUUGUUCCCUCUUGCUCAAGCUUCCUCUGCACGUACGCCUUGGUUCUCCUUUGGUAUAGUGGGGUGAGUGUAGCAGUAGGAUAAAUGUAUAUUGGUCUGAGGAUAAAUGCAUGGAUGUGUAACCAUCUAUAAAAAUUCAGAGGAUAAAUGUAUAUUGGUCAUUGACUGCAGUCUGCACUGCAUACCUCUAGGUGGCUUUUGGUUCUGGGCUGUCUGAUCAAACUAGAGCAACACUCUGAACAUCUGUCCUGAGACGACUAGGAAACAAGACGGUCCUAUAUUAACUAGCUAGGAGCCUAGAACUAGGCAAUUAAAAGCCUCAGUAUCCUCCUUUGCGAAGCAAUAAGAGAGAUUAUCACCCAAGAGAGGUUCUGAAUUUUCGAAUUGACAUUGAUGUAACAAUUAUGAACCUCGCAGAAUUUCGAUGAACAGUUGCAUUAUAUUACACAUGCGUGUAUGUUGCGCAGUGGUAGGUUGGUGGUGCAUUCUUUGUCAGUGUCACUUUAACAUGAUCUGUAAAUAACUGGUGACGAAGAAGAAGCCAAUGCAGCGAGCUGAGAAAUAUAGUGCAGAUCAUCGUCCCAUGGAGGCAUGCAGCUGCAAUGGCAUUGCCACGGAAUGUUGGCCUAGGAGGCUUCGGGAGCUCUUGCAUAACAUGAUCUCAGUACAUUGGUAAGCAGAUAAUUCCUCCUAACGCAUAUCGCCUAUUAUAUAUACAUUUUUCUUAUUUAGGAUGAUGAUCUUUUGGCUGAGAAUUUUGUAAGAAUUUGGCUGUGGGUCGCAGAGGCUGGUAUUCCAUUUUCUAAAAAAAACUAACCAAUCCUUACUUUUUGCAGCAUCAGCUACAGCACACCGUAGCAAUGUGUAAGUACCUUUCUCCCUAAAUCUAAAGUUCAUCCUUUUUUCGUACGAUGCUAAUCCGCCACUUGUGUCGUCAGAGGUUACGCGAUCCACACAGUUCCUUCACACGACUCGGUCAGGGCGAGCCAUAAUCUGUUUGAGUAGGUGGGAAGGCACAUUCUAUCGCCAGGCCACGCCUGCAACCAGAUUGAUCCAACGGUAUUAUGAGAAUCACUGUGCCGUGUGGCGUCAUGAUGUAUGGGUACGUUUCCGACUAUGGAUGCAAUGUAUUGGUCACAGCGCUGGGAAAUCCUGCAGCUUUGGGGUGCAUGUCAAGCUUCUCAUAUUAUAUUACUGACAGCCAACCAUGAUAAGAGGCCAUGGGUCGUCAUCAGCAGUGGAGGUCACUCGUUUGUAGGUGCACAAAAGGAAAGUGCACAUGAAGCUAGCUAUCUUUUUUGAACAUAAUCUGCUUGUCGCUGUCAUCAUAGAACUAGCAACGAAGUAGUUUGCAGAGAAACUUUAAUGGAUGGUUUGUCAUCACCGGAAAUUUCAACUUAUUAAAAAAUCCAACUUAAGCAAUGUAGAUUUGUUAUAUGGUUAAUAAUUGACGCAUCAUCCAGUAUCUUGUACGCUGCACUCUUGAGACAUUAGGAAUUCCUCGAUCAAAAAAGUGUGGUGGUGGAGCAAGCUGUCGGCUGGUCCAUGAUGCCGCCUGGUAGAUGCACAAUUCUUCUUGAUGGAAAGAGAUGAACUCUUCGUGGAGGCUACUAAAGUGCCUUGCUACUGUACAAGGCUUGCUGUUUGUUGUAUGUUCCAAACAGAGUUGCUUGGAUAAGUAUGGAGUGCAUCUAUCAUCUAUGGCAAGAUCAGACAUUGUCAGGAACUAUCAUCAUGAGUUAUUGUAGUCUGUUUCUUUCCAUCUAUAAAAGAAGAGGUGAAGGAGAAGAAGCUAUGACUUUUGCAAGUUGGUAGAUGAAUGUGCUCAGUAUUCAUGGAAGGUGCUCCAUUGGGAUUGCUGUUUCACGUAGGCCUAGGAGGCACUGGGAUAUCUUGCAUUACUGUUACUAGUCUUACUACUCGAAGAAGUCCUGAUAAUUCAGCGAUCUAGCCUCACUUCCUUGAUAGGUGCUGGUGUACCCGCACUUCAUCCCUCACUUCCUUGAUAGGUGCUGGUGUACCCGUACUUCAUCGGUCAAUGCUGGCAAGUUUUUCACAACAAAACAUGGUAAAUCCAUAUCUCCUACCUUGAGGAACCUACUGCUCUUUUAUGGAACAAUUGAAAGAUGUCACAGCGAUGCUUGACGACGUAUGCUCUUUGAUAGUCUGUAGUUUUUAAAUGGAUACAGUGUCUGAUUAUGCAGCUACUGACCUACCUCUGCACCGCAUGGAUGUAUAACCAUGUAUACGAGUUCAGAGGACAAUUACAUAAUGGUCACGGCACUGUACUGCAUGCCUCUAUGUGCCCUUUGGCUGUCUGAUAAAUCUAGACGAUGGCUCAAUGACUCAUCCUGAGACUAGGAAACAAGACGGUCAUAACUUGGAGUAGGCAAUUGAAAACCUUAGGAUCUUUGCGAAGCAGGAAGAGAUACAACACGAUGGAAUCAUUCAUCACGUAAAGCUCCCUAUGAGUACUUAAGCUUGCUGUUCUGACAUGAACGUAAAAGUUCUUUCAUCUAGUUAAUCACUAAUCCAGAUUUAGUUACCCGUACGUAGUGACAGUUGCUGUCACCGCCUCCACAGUAGGAAUUUGGCUUCAAGUCCUUAAUUUUUCCCUUUAGCCCCUUAAUUGCCUCAAUGACAAUGUUGAAUGAAUGCUAAAUCAUUUUGUAAUUAUCACUACUACAUAUAGCUAGUUUGUCUUGCAAAUGGUGGGUGUGUAAUAAAGUUGGAGUAACUACUUGUGGCGUCUCCAGGUCAUCAAGGUGCACCUUUGAGAAUGAAUAUGACUGCAGUUGCGGAGCUCAACUUGUUGCAUGGGUUCAGAAAGGAGUCAUAUCUGGCACCCUCGCAGUUGUACUUGAACUCCUGCUUAGGUUCAGAAAGGAGUAGAAGCGAAGUUAUGUGUCAAUAUUUUGCUCUGUUUAGGUCCAUAAUAGCAGAGGCAGAGGAACACGAUGUGCAGCACCAUCUCGUUUCGUGCUAAGACAGAUACAGCAUUCUUCUUGAUCGGCAUAGACAUGAACUGCUCGAGGAUCCAGUUCCAGUGUCUCGCAACGGAAAUAUUUAGGCCGGGGAACGUCAGGAGCUUGUGUGUUAGAAAAAACAUUUUGCAAAACGGCCGGUCCAAUUCAUCUUUUGCAAUGUUAUAUACUUUGUACCGAGGGAGUCAAUAAACUUAUGCUGCUUAGAUCAUAGGUGAAAGAAGAAUAAUUCCGUUUUUGUUUUGUCCAGAGCAAAGCUUUGUCUUUAGUGUUUUACCUUUCCGACUUUUUCACUCUUUAAUUUUUUGAUAAUAUAAAUAAAUUAUUAUCUUAUUCCCUGAAUAAAAAGCUGGCUUUUAAAUUAAAGGGACCUGUCCAAGAAGUUCUGGAUCUGGUUCGUCCCUAAUUCUUCGAGAUGGAAGUGUGGGAAGGUUGACGGCAUUUAGUUGAGCUAUUGUGUCUCAUUUUUUUAUUAUAAAUUCAGAGCUUCAGCCCACUUUAAUUGUCAUAUUUCGAGUCUUAAUUUUGCAUGUAUCUUGGAGUAAGCGCUCUGCCAAGAAAAAGUACGUCGUGGGUAGUACUCUGUUUAUGACUCUCUCGUGGUUUUCUAAGUUACGGAGAAGACCUUCCGAUCCCGGCCAGCUGUGCCAUUUGGCUUCAACAAGCAGCCAUGGCCAAUAAGCUCAUUCUCCAGUUUAAUUGUUGCUCUAGCGGAAUACAACAUGGCCAAUAAGUUCAUUCUCCAUGCCAGUGACGAGACUCGAUGUGAUCUGGCGUAACUCAACCUCAGAUUCACAGCUGCACGUACGCUAGUAUGUGCUCCAUGUAGAAUUGUAGAUGUAGCAGUGCAGGUUCAUAGUAUCUCGCUCACGAACUCCAUUAGGAUGAAACAGGCACAUCUCACAACGGCUGUAGUUGAUGAAGGGAGCGUUGCAGCAACUGAACUGCUUCAUCGAGGAGGUACUUUCCAUGUUGUCACUGUCAGCAGGAAGCAAUGGUUAGCGUAGCACCUCCACAAUUUUUAAGUAAUUAAGCUGACAUAGUUUCUAUCUAACUUUCCGAAGGCAAUAUGAACAGGGCAGGAACUGCCUACCAAGAAUAACCAAUGUAGCACAAGAGUUCCCAAUGCCUCACAAGCCGAUGUACCAAGCAAAACCAUAGAAUUGUUGGUCCAUAUCCAUAUCAGUUACGUUCCUUGAGGAACAGGCUUCAGCCCCUUUCACCUGCUCUUUUAUGGACCAAAUGAAACAUGUCACAAUUAUGGAUGAGCAUGCACUGCUGGACUGCAUGUAGUUUCAGUGGGUGAGAAUAAUGUGCAGCUAAAUUAUUGCGCCCUACACCUGUACUGCAUGAAUGUUCAACCAGCAACCGUACAAAUUCAGAGAAUAAAUGAAUGCAUGGUUAUCAUGCCUCAAACUAGAUGACCACUCUGAACAUCUAUAUAUCCUCAGACUAGGAAGUAAAAUGGUCAUAACUCGAGCUGGGCAAUUGAUGAAAACUUUUUGAUCCCUCUUACCAUUGCGAAACAGGAAGAGAUAUAACAAUGGAAUCAUUAUUCAGUCGUAUGUUGAAUCCAAAUACUUAAGAAUCUGAAAGAUAUCAGUCGCCAGUAGUAGUACGUUGUAGUUUAUUUAAAGCCACUAGUCCAUCAACCCAUGCUCCCCACGAGCUAAUAUUUUUAAAAGAUAUUGUAUUUGAAAAUUAAUUAGAAAUUAAAAUCCAAGAUAAUAAUUAAAAUUAUUUACCAACUAUUCUCUCAGUUUUUUCAAUACUUCAGCGUAAUACUUAUAUAGAUAUGUACUUAUCUUUAUCCAUUUGUGAUUAAUUUUUAAUUAGUAAUUGCUCUAUACACUGUUUUAUCCACAUUCACACUUUUUCAUUUUGUAUCGCACUUCCAUACAUUGUGUUUAGCAUAAAAGUGAAUAUUUUUCAUCAUUUCCUCACGCACAUGUAAGAAUGGUCUACAUGGUGACACUCAUCAUGCGUAUAUACCUUAACUUAGUAUUUCUAUAUUAAUAACGACAUAAAUAGGUAAUUUAGAAUCAUAUAUUACUUUACUUUUGGACAUUUCUUUAUGAUGCACAUGAAGAUAAUUAGAUUAAAAUUUUGAUGUUUACACUUUUAAUAGCAACAUACAUGAGUAAGUUAGGUACUGAUUUAAUUAGAAUGGCAUUUUAAGUUAUUCUUUAUAAUAAUAUGCAUGGGUAAAUUGAAUGAAGAUAGUGGGGUUACUUUAAAUUAUUUUUUUAUAAUUGCAGAGCUCACUAAUUUAGAUAUAAGUUUAGGGUUUAUUUUAUAAUAUUUUCAUGAUAAUAGUGAUGGGUAACUUUUUAGAAAAUAUAAUAGACUAAUGACUAUGAUUAUUAGAGUUAAACAUGAUUGAUGCUUGAUAUUUAUGCUUUUGUUGAGAAUUUCUAGGCUUUAUCUUUUUUUAGCGUGUCUUAUGAGAACUAAUGUGGAGUCUCCGAUGGAAAAAAGAAAGAAUCCAUUGCUACAAAACUAUUACAUUGAGCUACUUCUCAUUUGUUAAAUAUUCGAACACAACACUUAUAUAAAUAUAUACUUAUUAUCUGCAUAUGAUUGUGAUAUAUUUUAGUUAGUAAUUACUUAUAACGUUUUCAUCUACAUUUAUAAUAUUCAACUUUUCACUUUGCAUCGCAUGUACGCGCUUGAAUAUGUUUAAUGGACCCUAAGUUUGAGCUAUAUCUUCCUCCAUAUCUUUAUAAAUGGAGACACAUAUUAUACGGAUAUACCUUAAUUAUUAUAUAAUAUACCUAAGAAAUAUACAAUUUAUUUAGAAUCAUAUAUUGGUGUAUAUUUUAUUCUUUUAAAUAAUGGCAUAUGUGGGUAAUAUAGAUGCAAAUUUAAGAGGUUACUGUAAGUUAUUUUUAAAUAUUAGUGGUGGGCAAUUUAGUUACAAAUUUAGGGGGUUAUUUUAAAUUAUUUUUAUAAUGGCAUGAGUGGGUAAUUUUGAUGAAGAUUAGGGGUUACCUUAGUUUAUUUUAUAUAAUAGGAGAGGUGGGUAAUUUAGAUAUAGAUUUAGGGGUUACUUUAGGCUAUUUUCAUAAUGGCAUAGGUGGGUAAUUUUUUUAGAAAAUAUAAUAGAUUCAAUGACUAUGCUGAUUUGAGUCUACUUAUGGCUAGAUGUUUUGCUUUUUAAUGAGAAUUUUUAGGAUUUUCCUCUUUUUCUAACGUGUCCACCUAGGAUCCUAGGUGGCUUCACCUGAGACUUCAAAAGGAGCAUCCAAUUAGUAAUAGUAAGAUUCGAGACCGAAAGGGGCAGUUCAUGAUUGAACAUGCGGCUGUAGGUGUAUGUUUAUCGUAACUGAAGAUAAAGAAUAAUGUAAUGAAAUAGAAUCAAAUUUUACGUAACUGGUCUCUUUUGCAUUGGUUUAUAAAAUAGCAGACGAGGGGGCACAGCGAUUACUACAAGUUGAGAGCCGUGAUGUUUCCCUCUUCGUUCUUUCUUUUCUUGUCAAAGAGGUGAAAUAUUUUUGUUUGAUGGACUAUGUUUCGCAUAUUUUUCUUCCAAAAAAUAUAAAGAAAUUAUAGCAUCCUUCCUCCUUCCGUUCCAGAAAAAAGAACGAUAUUGUUCUUUGUUCUUUUUUUAGUUGACCAACCUGUAACAAACAAAAACUAAAUAGGGAAGCUGUCUCUUUAACCAAUAUAAUCCUGAUGAAGAAGUAAAAUCAGCACACAUACUUUUUAUUUUAGAUCUACCAUACUUAAUCAGUUACAGCCAAACAUCCAAUCCACCGGUCAUAUAUCUAAUGUGUGUUCUUUGGUCACGAUGCAGUUAAUUUUUUGUGAAUAAGGAUAUCAGUACUUUUUUCUUAAAUUGAAUUGUAACCCUACGCCACGCCUACGUGCUACGUCUUCAAUUGAAAGUUUUUUUCUAGUUUAGAAGUUAUCUCUCUUUAAGCAUGUAAAAAUUUAAUGUUUCUUAACUUUGUCCUGAAUCAAACUGAACUCUUGUAUGAUUUCUGCUUAGAAUUAUUUUUGUUGCUGUGUUCAAGAAUUUUGAAAUGACAAUUAAACUUGAUAUUGGCAGCAGACCAACUUGAUACUUCCGUCAUUAUUAAACUUGAUAUUGGUGCAGAUCUGAUUCAUUUAAUUUGGUCACUUGGACAGGUACAAAAAUACAAUAGGAUGGAGCUAGCAGAAAGUGUCACAUGUUGCUACAGUUCAACUUCAAGGAGAAUUUCAGUUCCUUUAGUUUACUUGACUUCAGAUAACUAACUGGGAGCCAUGUACACAAGGAGUUAUAGAGUUUAAAGCAAUCUGUGAUAUGAAGUUCUCUUUGGAUCGGAAAGAAUGUAUGUAUAUUUAGUGGAGAAUACAUUUAUUCAUUUUAUUCCAAUAGCUUGAUGGGUGUCAAUGUGAUCUUAAUGUACAAUGCAAAUAAUUGUUGUGGACAUGUAUAUUGAACUAUCAGACAGAUAGUUUUGAUGGAGCUGAGAAAUUCUACCUACGGGUGCAGAUGUGCAUAUUUAUAUUAUUUUUUUAACUAAAUGUGUGUCGUCAAGAGUUCACCCGUGCUUAGCAAGAAUCUUCAAUGCCACACUUACAUAGAGUUCACUAGGUGACGCAAGAGUUCCCAAUGCCUCACAGGCCUAUGUACACCAUGGCAAAGAUUAGAAUAUAAUAGUCCAUCCAUAUGUCUUACCUUGCAGAACCUACUCGUUGUCACCUGCUCUUUUAUAGAAUGAAUUGAGGAUUUAGUAGAAAAUAGUAGAUUCUUCUUGGGUUUUCUAAGUUUUAUAAAGGUCAUCUGACUGCCAUAAACACAUGUCUAGCGCUACUCCCAUUUAACAAUUAUGACCCAGGAGAAUUUCCAUGAACGCAUGCAGCUACAUUAUAUUACACGGGUGUGUACGCUGUGCAGUGGUAGGUUGACGGAACUAGAUGGUGCAUCCUUGUCAGUCACAUAACAUGGUUUAUAAAAUAACAGGUGUGGCAAAAUAAGCCAACACAGCGACGAGCUGAGAGAUACAAUACAGAACAUACCCAUGGAGGCAGCUGCAAUGGCUUUACCAUUUACCAUGGAACGUAGGCCUAGGAGGCUUCAGGAUCUCUUGAAUCACAGAUUCGCUGUUUCUGACUGGCUCCUAACCAAUCCUUGUAUCUAAGAGCAACUCCAAGAGACUGCUAAUCUUACCCCCAAUACCUUCCCCAAUUUUUUAGCAAUGCUAAAAAACAGCCUGCCACCGCGUAUAUUUUAGCGUUGGCGUUCCUCCCCCAAUCCUGAUUCCCGCACGCCCGCCCGUCCCUUCCGAUGGGCCCAAUACGAUGACGUGGCCUGUGUUUGAAAUAUUGGGGACUAUUUAUUAGCGAUCUGCUGUGGACUGAUAUGUUUUUUGGGGGAAAUUUUUUUUGGGAGAACCCCCAAUACAUAGUUUUGGAGAAGAAUUUUUUAGGAUACUCUUGGAGUUGCUCUAAUCCUUCCGUUCUAGGAUGCUAAUCCGCCUUCACUCACAAUUCGCGUGAUCCACCUCUGCUUUAUAUACAAUGCUGUCUAUGCGGGUCGAUCAUCUCCUUGAACAGGUGGGAGGGCACAUUCUGUUGUUAUAAGCGGAUUAUAGGUGAAAAACUGAAAAUACCACCAAAAAACUUUGCUUAUUUCUCCCUUGCCACAGAAACCGCUUAGCACAUAAGCAAGAAAACAACAUGCGCUCAUCCCGCUUAUCUCCUAAGCGGCUCGAGCCCCGCGUUUCAAAUAAGCAAAAAACUUAAAAAAAAGAUGGUCAUGCACCUAGUUUAGUUUAUCAAGGCAGCAGAUUAUCCACACAGUGGCUUAUUGAUAAAGCUUGCUUCUCGGCCUGCUAAUGGAGGCUCUACCCGCCCCUACCCGCAACACCUGAGAUAAUUAAGCAGAUCCGCCCCCACCUAAAAACCUAAUUAAUCAACCCUCCCCAACCCGCCCCACUGAUAGUGGGUUUUGCCGUGGGUUGCUGCGACAGGACAGGUGCGCACCACGGCCGGUGAGCACGGGCGCAAGGAAGGGGCAGCGGCGGCGACCGCAGGGACAGGCCGCCCCGGCCAGCGAGCAGGAGCGGCAGGGAAGGGGCAGCGGCGGUGGCCGUGAGGAUGGGCCUCCCCGACCGGUGAGCAGGAACAACAGGGAAGGGGUGGCGGCGGCCGGCGGGUGCGAGGACAGCCCCUCUUCUCCUUCGGCGGUGCCCCUCCUGGCCGGCGAGCACGAGCGCAAGGAAGGGGCGGUAGCGUCCGACGGGCGUGGGGACGGGCCCCUCUUCUCCUUCAGCGGUGCCCCUCCAUGGCGCGGGCGACGGCCACGACUGCCUCAGCAGGCACGUGUGGGGACGGGGCCGGCGGGGUGGUACGGGACCUCGCCGGUCUAGAAGAGGUGCUCGAAGGCGUGGAAGGAUCCCGCGGCGGGGCCCAAGAGGAUGAGGAUGCGGUGUGUGGGGGAACCGCUGCCGCUGGCGGCGCAAGGAGAAGGCGGCGAGCAACAAGGACUCCGCCGAGAUGUUGGCGGCGGCACCACCCGCGCGCAAGAGAAAGGUCCCGUAUGACGAGAGCUCCGGCGUGACGGCAGCGCCCGCGCCCAAGAGAAGCAACGGUUGGCGGUGGCGACGUCGCCUUUCUGCGGGACUCGCGCGGCACCCCUAUCGUGCGAGGUAGGACCGGUUCCAACCCUGUUCAACCCACACUUUCAGUAUACCCAACCUGUCCCGACCCGCUAGCAUCUGGAACCCAUUAUCACCCAUCCACAGGAACCCGUGCGAAGACCCGCCCCGAAAUACCCACUUCAACCCACCCCACUAGCAGGCCUAUUCUCAAAUAAGCUAGUUCGAGAAAAUUAAGCUGAUCAGUAUAGUGUUACGAAGAGCAGUGUAGCGUUGCGGUGGCAUACUGGCAUCAGGGAUUUUGUAGCACAUCAUCAUCGAUUUCAGCUGUGAGCUGAGGACCACGUCGAGACCCUUACCCGUACUCCCUCCGUUUAAAAAAAACCACAAUUAUGGAAUUUAAAUUUUGUCCCAGAAAAAAUACUAUUCCCUUUUGGUGGGCCUCCCACGGCCAAUCCUUAUUAUCUGAACGCCUCUUGCAGCUGUUCUCAAGCUAUGGCUGUCCCUCUCGCUUGCAGCAGUCAAUGGGCUCCUCGUUGACACUGCCCUGCAACGUGAUGGCCAACUCUAGCGUAGACGCCAUGCUGUUCCCGACUGAGGAUGGGAUCACAGAUCCGACCCGUGCUGCAAGUAUUAGUGUAUAAAUGAAAUGCUAACAUCUUCCUCUAAGUUUAAGUUCUUCGGUUCACUGCAGUAGAGGGCUUCACCCGCUCCGGCUUAUCCACGCCGGACCCAAAGCUAGCUAACAAGGAGACCACCGGCUUAUAUGUACCAGCUAUAGUACACACCGGCGCGUUUAAUAUCCAUGCCGGGGCUAAUCAACGGCACUAGCACGAAUCAAAAUCAUUACAAGUCUUGUUGUUUGUUUUUUCUUUCCGAUUUCCCAUUCUUAUUUUCCUUCAAAAAACUAUAAAUCAAUCAUAUCUCACAUUCCCUGAACUAAAUACUGUCACUUAGAGUGUUUGUUUGUCCUAUCAUAGAUUUUGUGGAGUGGGUCAUUCCUACUUCCUGAAAUUCUUGGAGAUGGAAGUGUGGGAAAAUUGAGCUAUAUAUUUUCCAUUAUUAAUUUAUAGAAAAAUGCAGAGCUUUAAAUCCACUAUAGUUAUCGUACCGAGUCCUAAUUUUGCAUGUAUCUUGGAGGUAGAACUGCGUCAAGAAAAAUUCUCUGUUUGUCCUGUGGCAUUCGGCUUCAACAAGCAGCCAUCGACCACGUUCUCAUGCUUAAUUGCUGUCCUAGUCGACUGCGUGAACUCGGUGUGUGACCACUCCAUGCCGUGGGGUAGCAUGACACAACAGCACACAGGUAGUCUGGUAGGUCCUCUCCAAGUUGCGGCGGAGUGGCGAUGUGUAGAGGUGCAGGUUGUAGCAGAUCAGCUAACUCCUCUCCCAGUUAUUGUCACUACCAGCAAGAAGAAACAUAUAUCUAAUGGUUGCCGUAGCACGAUCCACCAUGCUUAGUGAGUAAGUUGGCAUUGUUUUUGUCUAGCUUUUAGAAGACAACAAGAACAGGGCAGGAGCUACCUACCAAUGUCACUUCGACUCAGUGUAGCACAAGAGUUCCCAAUGCCUCACAAGCCUAUGUACCAUAGCAAAGCCAUAGACUUGUUGGUCCAUAACCAUAUCUGCUACGUACCUUGCGGAACUGGCUUCAGCCCCUUGCACCAGCUCUUUUAUGGAGUAAAUGAAACAUGUCACAAUUACGGAUGAGAUGUACUAUUGGGCCACAUCUAGUUUAUUCAGUGGCCAGUGUAUACAGUCCAGCAAAAUUGCAUUUUCACCUACUAAUGUACUGCAUAUAUGAAUGCUUAUGUAGACAUCUUUUCGAACACAUUUAUGCACAAAAAUAAUAAUUACAUGGAAUUUAAAUAUUACAUGCACAUUUCUUUUACUUUUUUUCCAUUGUGUCCCUUGGCCUAUAUACAGAUAAGGGCUGCGUCAAGCUUCUAGUCCGGAGGGAGAAUGAACUCAGAGACCAUGGAGAGGGGCUGGUUUAUUAAGUGAACUCUAGAAGCUUGCUUUCAUGAUUUGGCAAGUCUGGGAGGCAUAGGGAAGUUUGGUUCCAGAGGGAAUCGAGGACUCAGCAAAUGGACCGUUAGAUCUGCCUAUGUAUACGCAGUCCUGAAGCCCCCCUGGUGGUGUUCUUGUCGAGAGGAUGUUUUGUUCCUCAACCAUUGAUGCGAUGCACAGAGAGACAAUGCUACAAAAUUCUCAGAAAUUGCAUGAUGGAUUCUGAAUAAGGACAUGAGUGAUGAGCAAAGAGAGAUCGCUAUGUUCAGGGCGAUGCAUGGGAUAAAUCGAAUGCAAGGCUCUAGUGUCUUUGCUAACAAUUUUAUCUAAGAUUAGACCAGAAUUGGUGUAGCUCAUUAAUCAGUCGGUUCCAACAGAGAACCAUGUGUCUCAUCAGAUACGUACAGAUGCAUGCGCGUUCACUUUGCAGAUCUCAUUAUAUCAAAGUAAGGCCCUAACAGGAGCUUAUGAUGCUUGGUACAACAGUUCUCUGGCUUCAGGUUUCCUGCGGAGAUGUUAGGGACUGUCACACAAUUCGAUGUUACAUCCUCACCCGACUGCCACAACUGAAGGUACUUAAAAGGCAUGCUUCCUUAUCCCAACUUCAUGCUGAAUCGCAGAAUGAAUUAAACAUGUGGGAAUUAAAUAUUGGACGAUUGCAUGACCAUGCAUAUGCAGUGGCAGGUGCAAAAAAAUCUUAUAAGACAUGCAUUGUCAUGUGUUAUAUGUAUGUAGUCACGGUAACAUGGCAUAUUAAAGAGGAAGCGAAGUAGAGGCAGUUGCUAGUACUACAAACCAGGGGAUGAAUCUGAUCAUGGAGGCUGCUUCAGUUCCUAUGGUAUGGACUUUGGACGUUGGUGUAGGAGGUAUCAGGGAAGAAAAUUAGACGCAGGACUCCUGCAACCGAGUCCUGGUGCAGGAUGGCCCCAGAUCAUGACGCGUGGGCAGCCUUCCCGAUUGAAUGCCCGCGCGAGGCGCGCGGAAGAUGAGCCAGCGCUGAAGAAGAAAAAAUAGACUGGCCAGAAAGACGAGCCCCUCGCGUGCGUGCCUCUCGAGCCGGCGGAAGACGAGCCGACGCUUAGCAGGGCUUCUCUGCGCCUGCAGGAGCUCCUCUCGCCUCAUGGCUCCAGAACGAAGGGUUACAGAAUCUGUUGCCACAGCUUCUCUGAUUCGUUUCACAAACAAAAUCUGGGAUAUUUCAUAAUCUGAAAAAGUUUAAAUCUAAAGAGUGGUAUGUGGAAGUGAUGUGUAAAAAAAAAAUGACAGGUCUAUAAAGUGUGAUGUGAUCCUUAUCAAACAAUAUAAAUGAGUUACAUGGUACCAACUCAGAUCCUCCGUUCAGCAGAAGUCUUGCAUGACGCAUGUGUUUCACACGGAACGUGUCUUGAAGUGUCCAGGGCGGCAUGUUCCAGGGCUAUAUGGGGUCGCGCAUUUCGAUCACGAACGCCCACGCAUGAGUCGGUAAGAGUCGGUUGCUUGUAGUUAAGCAACAUAGAGUCCGAAAACCCAUCCACUCUCACGUUGCCGCACAACUUGUGUGCGUGUUCAAGUGUUGCCCUGUGCUCUGGCGUGUGCAUCCACAUCGAACCAGACCUCGCCGUCGAUAUUUUAGUUUCUCCGACCACAUCUGACAACCUUUAUGUGUUUUUUCCUUUUUUGCAUCGUCACUAGAAAUUACAGAUUAUUCAAUUAUCCAACUUAAACAAUUAGAUGUUACGGUUAAUGAUUAUUGCAUCUUGUGCGCUGCACUAUUGCGAAAUCUUACUAUAUAUUACUAAUUGGAGGCUUCUUGUGAAGCCAGUGAAGUCACCUAGAAUCCUAAGUGGACAGUCUAGAAAAUGAGAGAAAUUCUCACAAAAAAAAGUAAAAUAUCUGACCAUCAAUUGAUAGAUUCAAAUCAUCAUAACCAUUGAAUCUAUUAUGUUUCUAAAAAAUUACCCACCUAUGGCAUUAUGAAAAUAGCCUAAAGUAAACUCCUAAAUCUAUAUCUAAAUUAUCCAUCUCUACCGUUAUAUAAAUAUAAAAUAAACUAAAGUAACACCUAAUCUUCAUCAAAAUUACCCACUUAUGCCAUUAUAAAAAUAAUUUAGAAUAACUCCCUAAAUUUGCAAUUAAAUUACACAUCACUAAUACUUAAAAUAUAACUUAAAGUAACCCCUUAAAUUCGAUGUAUAUUGCCCACAUAUAUCAUUAUUAAAAAUAACAUGAGGUAAAUCUAAAUUUAAUCCAAAUCACCUUAAUUAAAAAUAUACAUUGGUGUAUGAUACAAUAAUUAAGAUAUAUAUAUAUGAUGUGUGUCAUCGUUACUAAUGAUAUAGAGGAAGUGAUGAGAAGCGCUCGGGGGAGUCGGGAGGUGGCGGCACGGAGGAGAGGCAAGUCGGGGGGAGUCAGGAGGAUGGGGGUGGGGGCGGGAGAAGGAGUCGGGCCAUCGGGGGAGAAACGAUUUUCUAGUUUUAGGAUCGGAAUGUGUUGCAGGCUAAUGAUUUGGACGCUGGAAAGUUGAGAAACGACCGAUUCCAAUUCUGAGCGGAGCCAAACAUGCCGAUCUUAAAAACUAAUUCCAAUUCCACCUAAUUCCAACGAAACAAACAUGCCCUAAGAUUAAUUGAAAGAUCGUGGACUUAGGUAGGUCGAUUCCAAAAGAGAACCAUGUGUCUCCUCGUCAGAUACAUACAUCUGCAAUGCGUGCCUGGUACGGGCAUUCAGUUUGUCAGCUGUAAUUAUAUAUGCAAAAGUAGAGCCUACGUCCAUGAGCUGUACACAAAUUCUCUGGCUUCACGAUUCCUGGAGACAUGUUAAUAACUGUCUGUCCUGAAGAACAGUAUGAUUGGUUGGUUCCACGUCCAUGAAGUGGUAGGUGCAGGAAAUCAGAUAGGUCGCGGUCAUGAUAUAUAAAAGAGUAGGAAUCCAAGUAGCAGUGUUGCUAGUGCUAGCAACUAGACAUGAUCAUGGAGGCCGUUUCAGUGCCCAUGUUAUGGGUGUCUGGAUCUUGGUGUAGGAGGUAUCAGGAGCUCUUGCAUGGCAUAUCUGAUAGGUCGUGGUGAAUAGACAGCACCUUUGUUGAAAUAAACCAUGUGCCCUGGUUUUGUAGUUUGUUAGCAUGUCGGUUGCUCUCUUCACGCGCGCGCUUGCAGAGUUCCUUCAGCAGUCAAGUGCAGCAUUCCAAGGGCUGUGGGAUAGAAUCACACACUUCGAUCACGAACGUGGCAUGCAUGAUCAGGAACAUAAAGUCUGAAAAACCGCUGCUGCGUUGCAGAGCACAACUUGUGUGUGUGGUCAAGUGUUCCACAGUGUGCCCGCACGUGUGUGUCCACCACAAACCAGAGCUCACCGUAGAGAUUUUCUCUGGCCACUCCUGACAUCCUUGUGUGUUUUUUCUUUUUUCUUUUUUCCUUUUUGCAUCACUGGAAGUUUCAGCUUAUUAUUAAAAAUUCAACUUAAACAAUGUAGAUGUGUUAUAUGGUUAAUAAUUGUUGCAUCUGGAUACGCUGCACUCCACACUGUUGUGACAUUAGGAAUUCCUUGAUGAUCAAAACAGUGCGGCGGAGGCAGCUAUUGGCCGGCACAUGAUGCUGCCUGGUAGAUGUACAAUUUUUGUUGAUGGAAAGAGGCUACUAAAGUGCCUGGCUACGGUACUAAAGGCUUGCCGGUCGUUGGGUAGUUGAAACAGAUUUGUUUGGAUAAGUGCAGUGCAUCUGUGGCUAGAUCAGACAUUGUUAGGAACCAUCAUCAUGAGUAAUUGUAGUUAGUUUCUAUCCGUCUAUAAAAAAGGAGGUGGAGGAGUAGAAGAAGCUAUGACUUCUGCAAGUGGGGAGAUGAAUGUGCUCAGUAUUCAUGGAACGAAGGUGCUCCAUUGGCAUCACUGUAGCACGUAGGCCUAGGAGGCACUGGGAUAUCUUGGAUUACUGUAACUACUCCAAGAAGUGCUGAUAGUUCUGCAGUUUCAGCCUUAUCUCUUCCUUCUUGCAUUGCUGGUGUACUCGCACUUCAUCGAUCAAUGCUGGCUAGUCGAUCACAACAAAACAUGGCAAAUCCCUGGGACUUGCAGCAUGAAGAAGAUUGGAUCAGCGCUAAGUUUGAAGGAUGAAACGUCCCUCGAUCGCAGCUUAGGCCGCCUCUUGCUCUUCAGAUUAAAUGUUUAACCAUUCAUUUGCUGUGACAAGUCCUCCUCCAGCACGCUGGUGAGGGACAGAAAGUGAGGACCUUCGAUCUGACGUGCUGAUGAUCGAUAUGCUUCUAACGAUUCACGGAUGCAAACAACUAGAUUGGUUGGAUAAAGCAUAUUAUUAUGCAUCUUACUGACUUAUUACUGGUCUCUCAAGAGAAAACACACCGUAUAUUUUUUUAUUGCCGUUGAUACACAAUGUAUUUACGGAACUUAUAAUGAGGUUAAGCACAAAUUGAAACAGAUGACAUGCGUGAGUACUGCCAGAACUGAAUCCCAACAUUUGUUUGUUUGUUUUCUGUACUUAACUUGAUCACGUAGUUAAAGCACCACCUCAAGUUACAGUUGCACGAAUAGAUCGAUGGAUGUAACUGAUUCACACAUGUAACGACUUGAUUGUUUAAGUAACCAGAUCAUUAUGCAUCCAUGAAUCAGUUAGAACCAUACCAUCGUUACAAAUUAUAUAUUUGCAGAACAUAACCAGGAGAAGCACAAAUUCAAAUAGACGGCAUAUGCAAGAAUACCUACCAGAACAGAAUCCCAGUAUCAUUAUUUCUUUUGCUUAACUCCAUCAUGUAAUUAAAGCACCACGUUGCCAUUGUGUAAAUGAAGUAUAAAUUGUACAUCCAGGAUAUUGUAGUAAGGGGGUGUUUGAAUCUUUAUUCCAGAUUAAAAUUCAUGUCACAUCGAAUAUUCGAAGGUUAAUUAGGAGGACUAAACAUGAGCUAAUUAUAAAACUAAUUACACAGAUGGAGGCUAAUUCCCGAGACGAAUCUAUGAAGCCUAAUUAAUCCAUCAUUAGCACAUGUUUACUGUAGCACUACAUUGUCAAAUCAUGGACUAAAUAAACUUAAUAGAUUCGUCUCGUAAAUUAGCCUCCAUCUGUGCAAUUGGUUUUGUAAUUAGUCUAUGUUUAAUACUCUUAAUUAGUAUCUAAAUAUUCGAUAUGAUAGGAAUUUUAGGAGCUCCUAAAGAACCAAACGGGACCUAAGUCUAUUUUGCUGUCUAUAAAAGAGCAGAUGAACGAGAAGCUGGUGCCAUAACUGAGAGACGAACAAACUAGCCUCAGAGGCUGCCCCCUGGCCGCUUUGAUGUGACACCUAGGCCUCGGAGGCAUCAGGAGAUCUCCCAGUAGCCAGAAAUGGAGCCCCGGUAUCCAGGUCAGCUGUGCGGGAGCGUUGCUAUGAGUCAGAUCUACUUGUGUCGCAGAUGGUAGCAGGCAUCCAGUUCCCCUAGUAUGGAUUCUUACGGUCUUACCCACAUUUCUACCAGCAGCAUAUGGUUAGCUCUUGCUCAUCUAUGCUUUUCUCUUUUGGUAUAGUGCGUGUGAGGCAGUGAGGGUGGUAAGAACUGGUGGGGCGAUUGCUUCUGUAUACAUUAGAAGCAAUGUUAGAAAGGGGUUCUUCCCCAUAAACAAUCCCUGUUAAUACAAAAAAAAGCAAGCUAGCUUUACAAGGAUUCAGUAGACGGCUAGACACUCAAACAAACGUCUGUUUGCACUUGAUCUGCCAUUUAAUUUGUAAUAUUUUCUCAAAUUAUGUAUAAGAGCAAACGUUAACAUUUUACCCUGAAUUUCCACGCUAUAUAUUUCGUGUUAUCAGAUGGCUGGCACCAGCUAAAGCCUUGUUUGGAUACUAGUGGAUUGAAGUGGAAUGGGAGGGAUUGGAGAGGAAAUAAGUUUAUUUUAGACACAAUCCUCUUCGUUCCCUUCAAAUCCCCUUCUAGAUUGUUCAUCUACCUCCUGGUCUAAAUUCACUGAACUCAAAACUUAAUUAUGAAACAUUCAGUAUUCAGUGCGCAUUUAAUUUACCUGAACUGCAGACACAACAAUCUGAUGGAUUAGAUAGUACGUUCAUGGCGUUGUGUGUGUCCUUUUUGUUCGUACAAGAGCAGCUGAAGGAGCAUAAAACAAGGUAUCUCGCUGCAUGCUGAGAGAGACGAAAUAUUUCUUCUUGAUGGAACGACAAGAAUUGUUCUUAUUGGCCAUUCCCAGUGGCUCUCUUGCGAUUAGGCUUGGGAAGAAGCAGGUGCUCUUAUGUUACAGAAUGGCAUCAUUCAUGUCCGAUGGCAUUGCUUUCCUUCAAGUAAUAAUGGGGUGCGCGCGUCUCAUCUGAUUUCUUCAGAAUCGUAGUCCUAACACGUCCUGUGUUCCUAAUAAAGGUCCUGGUAGUUGCACGGAUGGAUUUUUCACUUAUCUUGGUCAUGUAAUUAAAGCACCACGUUGCAGUUUCACGGAUGUGACACUGGCCGCUCUAGUGGCUUUGAUGUGACACAUAAGCCUCGGAGGCAUCAGGACAGGCAGGAUAGCGGCUCGUUGCCGCAGUCCAGCGACGGGCGAUAGAACAGGAGUUGCUAUAAGGCACUGACGACCAAGCACUUGCUUCCUGCUUCGUCUACUUGUUGCCCUACUGAUCAGACUUCUUCAGUUCUUCUGCAUGUCAUGUUUCUCGAUCUCGAUCUCGAUCUCUUUUGGCACAGUGGCUGUGAGGGUAAUAAUAACGGGUAGCAGGGCCAUUGCUCUUGUAUGCAUAUGAUGUUUCAAAUUGAAUGCAACUAGUCCAUCAACCCGUGCUCCCGCACGGGUUAAUAUUUUUAUAAGCUAUUGGAUUUGAAAAUUAUUUAGAAAUUAAACUCUUAGCUAAUAAUCAAAAUUAUUUACCUUCUACUCUCUUAUUUUUCCAAUACUUCAACAUAAUACUUAUAUAGAUAUGUAUCUAUCUUUGUCCAGUUGUGAUUGAUUUUUAAUUAAUAAUUAUUCUAUGCACUUUUUCAUUCAUAUUCAUACUUUUUCCAUUUUGUAUCGCACCUCCAAUCCUCUAUACAUUAUGUUUAGCAUACAAAUCAAUAUUUUUCAUCGAUUCCACACAUACAUGUAUACGUCUAAUGGUGCCACUCAUCAUGUGUAUAUACUUUAAUGUAGUAUUUUUAUAUUAAAAAUGACAUAAAUAGGUAAUUUAGAAUCAUAUAUUAGUUUAAUUUUUGAUAUUUCUAUAUGAUGCACAUGAAAAUAAUUAGUUAAGAUUUAGGUAUUUACUUUAGGUUAUUUUUAAUAACGACAUAUGUGGGUAACAUAGAUAAAAUUUUAGAAUGACAUUUUAAGUUAUGCUUUAUAAUGAUGUGCAUUAGUAAAUUGGAUGAAGAUUACGGGGUUACUUUAGAUUAUGUUUUAUAAUAGCUGAGCUCGGUAAUUUAGAUAUAGGUUUAGAGCUCAUUUUUGAAUAUUUCCACAAUGACAGUGGUGGAUAACUUUUUAGAAAAUAUAAUAAAUCAAUGGCUAUGAUUAUCAGAGUUUACAGGAUUGGUGUUUGAUGUUUUUAAUUUUUAUGAGAAUGUCUCUUUUUUCUUGCUUGUCUCAUGGGAACUAAUGCGGAGUCUCCAUUGGAAAAAAAUGAGAUUACAUUGCUACAAAACUAUUACCAUAAGCUACCUCUCGUUUGUUAAAUAUUCGAACACAAUACUUAUGUAGAUAUUAUACUUAAUAUCUUUAUCCAAUUGUGAUAGAUUUUAGUUUGUAAUUACUCUAUAAUAUUUUCAUCCAUAUUUAUAAUCUUUAACUUUCCACUUUGGACCGCAUGUAUGGGCUUGAAUUUGUUUAAUGAAUCCUAAGUUUGAGUGCUCAUAAAUUUAAUAGAACUAUCCAUAAUGCUAAAUAUAAUUUUAGCAUAGAAAUGUAUAUUCCCAUAACUUUAUAUCCUUAUAAAUGGUGACACACAUCACACAUCAUGCGUAUAGACCUUAAUUAUUAUAUCGUAUACCAAUAGUGUAAGAUAUAGACGAUUUAGAAUCAUAUAUUGUUGUAUAUUUUUAAUUAAGGUUAUUUGAUUCAAACGUAGGGUUACCUCAUGUUAUUUUUAAUAAUAGCAUGUGUGAGUAAUAUAGAUGCAAAUUUAAGGGGUUACUUUAAGUUUUUUAAAGUAAUAGUGGUAGGCAAUUGACUUGCAAAUUAGGGAGUUAUUUUAAAUAUUAUUUAUAAUGGCAUAAGUGGGUAAUUUUGAUGAAGAUUAGGGGGUUACUUUAGUUUAUUUUAUAUAAUGGCAGAGGUGGGUAAUUUAUAUAUAGAUUUAGGGGUUACUUUAGGCUAUUUUCAUAAUGGCAUAGGUGGGUAAUUUUUUAGAAACAUAAUAGAUCCAAUGGCUAUGAUGAUUUGAAUCUGUCGAUUGAUGGUCGGAUGUUUUGCUUUUUUGUGAGAAUUUCUAGGAUUUCUCUCUUUUUCUAGAGUGUCCACCUAGGAAUCCUAG
rnacentral:lncRNA from 1 species